rnacentral:lncRNA from 1 species
CUCUCCCUCAAGCGCCUCAAAGCUUCCUAAGCGCUUACAUUGGUCUUGGGACAGCCGACUUUGGCUUCUUUGUUUGUUUGAGGGACCGCGGAAGUGGCGGGGAAUGUGCCCCCCGCUUGAGACCGCUUAUUGUGAGCCCUCAACGGAAAUCCUGCACGGAAGGCAACCGCCUCCCCGCUCGCGUUAGAAGGCUUCAUUUGCUCUGAGUUAUCAUUGAGAACUAAAUUGAGAAGAAAAGAACUGAAGGCCUGAAGGUCAUCUGUAGAAAAGAUGGACAUCUGAAAUCAUCAAACCAUUGAGAGAAACAGCCCUCAUUCUUUUAUGAGACAACCUGGAAGAAAACAGGACUCUGAAGAUUUGUCUCCAUAUUCUCUGGAAAGAUGUACUCUGAUUGCAGUAAGAGGGAGCCACAUGGUUUAUUAGAUGGUUGUUAAUUGAGCAUUCUGUGCAAAGAAGUUUGUGCCUUAGUUAUACUGAAAAGAAGAAAAUCUCUCCAGUUUCAGAAACACUGGCCUUUUGGAUACUGAGGAGUUGGGAGUGGAAAGGGGAUUUUAAUAAGUUUCUCGGCAAUGAGGCUAGAGAAAAUAUUAUCCAUCUCCCCCGUUCCCCAAUUCAGCAACUCCCUGACUCCUGUUUUCAUCACAGUCCUGUUAGAUAAUUACAGCCCUGAAGGCCUCCUGUUCCUUCUUUCUGUGCUCCCUGAAUCUUAUUUCCCAGAGCCAGGACCUCUUGGAAAUUCUCAGCCUCUGUUAGUUUCCGGCUCUGGGAGCCUGACUCCUCCCAUCCGUCAUCUCUUUCUUCUCCCCCUUCACCUGCUGUAGUGUCCCCGCUGUCUCUCUUUACCUCAGCUCCUUACCAUUCCUUUCCCUCUACACCCUUUUCCUUUGGUUCAUAGUCAGCAUGUGCUAGUUGCAUUCAGGCCUUUUUUGACACUAAGAAUUCAGGGGGACAAAGCCAAACCCUGGAGACUACUGUCUUCCCCUUAGUGAUGCUAAUGAAUAUAAUUCCUAAUCUGAAAUUACCUGCACUUUAUUUGGCUCCAUCUACUUUUCUGCCACUUACUCCCUGUAUAACCAUAGGCUAUGUGCCCUACCUCUCUCCGGGUUUAUUUACUCCUCAGUUAAAAGGAGGAUUAAAAUGGCAAUCACAACACCUUGCUACAGAUAUGUUAGGAUGAUUAAAUGGGAUAACAUGCAGGGUCCCCAGCCUUCCUGGCAUAUAGUAAAUGCCUAUAAAAUAUAACAAGUGUCAUGUACUAUUAUUAAAUUGUGUCUACAUGGUAGAAA